rnacentral:rRNA from 1 species
GACGAACGCUGGCGGCGUGCUUAACACAUGCAAGUCGAACGGAAAGGCCCUGCUUUUGUGGGGUGCUCGAGUGGCGAACGGGUGAGUAACACGUGAGUAACCUGCCCUUGACUUUGGGAUAACUUCAGGAAACUGGGGCUAAUACCGGAUAGGAGCUCCUGCUGCAUGGUGGGGGUUGGAAAGUUUCGGCGGUUGGGGAUGGACUCGCGGCUUAUCAGCUUGUUGGUGGGGUAGUGGCUUACCAAGGCUUUGACGGGUAGCCGGUCUGAGAGGGUGACCGGCCGCAUUGGGACUGAGAUACGGCCCAGACUCCUACGGGAGGCAGCAGUGGGGAAUAUUGCACAAUGGGCGGAAGCCUGAUGCAGCAACGCCGCGUGCGGGAUGACGGCCUUCGGGUUGUAAACCGCUUUCGCCUGUGACGAAGCGUGAGUGACGGUAAUGGGUAAAGAAGCACCGGCUAACUACGUG